GCUCUGCGGCAGGCACUCAGGCAGCGGGCGCAGAGACUGCAGGAGCGAGCAGGCCCGCUUGGGGAGACGCAGAUAAGUUUUUCUGUUAAAAUGAGGAAGCUAGUGCAGACGUAGAGUACUGAAAAGACCUAAGAAGCUACAGCUUAGGACAAGGAGCUAAAUUUUGAUAACCUAAAAGAGAUGUUAAGGGAAAUGGAGACUUACGUGAAGAGUACCUUGAGAAAGGGAGGAAGAAGAAAAAGGGUAUUUCUAGAGUACCUUGAGAAAGGGAGGAAGAAGGAAAAGGUAUUUCUAGAGCACGACGGAGGUUGAGAUGAAACGCUCAUGGCGUUGAAAGGGAAAGAUUGCUUAGAAAGGGCUGCCGAUUCCGGCAUUAAAGAGCAUUCAGUUGAAGGGCAGCCUGGCAGCCUUUUAGAUUGACGUUAAAAGCUAGGGGACAUCAAUAGAACCUAAACGUCCUUUUAAAAAGAUCGUGGAGGGUUAAAAUACUUGGCUACUUUAGAAAGUGAAGUUGAAGGUGACGAGACCUUCAGAUUAAUGGCGCGCCAAAGGUCACGUCACUUGAAGCCUAGUCGAUUUUCAGGGGCAUCGUUUGCUUAAAAAAAAUGGAAAUAUUAAUUGGGAGUGGUAGGAUAAAACUUAGAAGAAAGAAGAUUAGAGAUUUCAAGUGGAAGCUUCUGAAGACAUCCCAGGAAGGGGAAGAUAGGAAAAUGGAAGAUUAGAAAAGAGAAGAUAGGAAAAUGGAAGACUAGAAGAUAGAUAGAAAAUGGAAGACUAGAAGAUAGAUAGAAAAUGGAAGACUAGAAGAUAGAAAAAUAUGCCUUUUACAAGACAACUAAACCUGAGAUAGAAAGUGGGAAAGUUGACAAACUAGAAGAUCAGAACGACUAAGGGCACAGGCACAAAUUGUAGGAAACGAAGAUGGAAGGUUGGCCAUGCUGCCGAGGAAGAGCAUUUCAGGUAGCAAAUGAAAAGCGAGCUAGGAAGAUUGAAUAAGCUACAAGGUAGACGGCAGAGCAGAAAGUAGAAGAGCGGAACUUAAAGCCAGAGUUGGUAGCCAGAAGUGCGAAGGGAACGAACCCGAGCCCUUGUGCUCGCGAGAGCUCAUCAGUUUCAUUUUGGUGGCUGAGAACUUAGCUCCUGAGCUGAGGGCGUUCAGACUUGUUAGGGCAGCAGGCAGCACGGUCGCGCCUUAGAAGACUGUUGAGGACCAGAAACUUCAAAGCAAGAGGCUGAAAGGACCGAAGCCGUGUAAGCUAAGUGUUAGGCGGCUUUUGGAAGAGUUGAGCUCAAGGCCUUAGGUACACUAGUUCGGGUCUCAGAAACCCUACAGGACUUUCUCACGGAGUAAUGCAAGAUCACGAGCCUGACGUUGGCAUUGGACUGAGCUGAGAUGGUUAAAGGCCGAGGCCUUAGUGGGCCGCGGGCCUCGGUGCUGCCAGACGCGGAUUCAGUGACGCUAGGAAGACAGGAGCCCGGGAGCCGGUGUGGAGAAGCUAGGACUGAGGAGGAGCUGGAGCCGCAGUGGUGAAGAUAGGCCAGGCCGGAGCCAGUGCCAGUGCGAGUUGUGAAGGAAGCUAGGAAGAAGGAAGGAGCGAGCCCCUGUCGAUGUGGAGGUGCAGCUAGGCGAGGAUGCCGGGAAGGAGGAGCCGGCGCGGCGCGGUGUGGUGCUGAAGCUGGCGCACGCGGCGAGGCGGCGUGGUGGAUAGAUAGCGCGGCCUAGCGCAGCGCCCAGGCAGAGCCAGUGUGUGGUAAAGAGCCGAGUUGUGUUGUGACGAGUAUGGGAACUGACGCCCUCAAUGGUAACGGGGACUGAGUAGGGAAGUGGGUUCUGAUGCGCACGUAGGCCGAUUUCCGGGUGUUGUAGGUUUCUCUUUUUCAGGCUUAUUUCUCAUGCAUCUUGUCUGAAGCUUUUGAGGGCAGACUUCCCAGGCCGGAGGAGUGGUAGCUGGCAAGUUUUUGUUUACUUUUAACCAAUUUGAGGGAAGCAAAUGCGUUCUGUAUCUAACGUUGAGACGCAAUUUCAGCAAGUUGUGUGAGCAGGUACUUCUACAUCGGGGCGAUGAGUUUUAGUUGUGUCACUAGUAUCCUCGCCCUAAAUUUUCAGGGACUUUUUGGGGUGUAUACCUUGGGGGUGGAGUUCCGUGGGGGCGGGGGGCAACAUGUUUUGAGUUCUUUUCCCCUUAGGUCUGCCUAGAAUCUCAAGGGCAGUGACUCAAGGUAACAAUGAAAAUCCAGUAUCAGGAUAAACAGCAUCACAGGUUUACAGUUUCUAGAAACUAGCGCAUGCAGCAGCUCUUUGAGGUCUGACGGAGCUGUCCAUUGGAGAAAUGGCUGGUAGUAAUCCUUUUCUUCCACCCCUUCAUCAGACUUAAGUAUUAUGACCCCCUUGUUACCUUUACGUGGAUUAGGUUGGGUGGGCUUACCAGGGAAAGAGGGCGGGGGAGAAAAUGUGUUUUUUUCUAAGAUUCUCCACAGAUGCUCUAGUGCUCUUGACAGAUUGGUUAGAGAAGGAGUGUACUGCUAAGCUGUUGGCACCAACACCUUCAGGGACUGGAGCUGCUUUUUUCCUUCAAGAGUAUUGCCAGUUGAAGCUGACAUGUGCAGCACAGUGCAGCUCGGGUUCAUGUUCAGUCAUCUCAGGAGAACAUCAGACGCUCUUGACUAGGCCAGAUGUUGAAGUUAAGUUUUCAAAUGUGACUUCUUAAAAAAACAAAAAAACAAACUGCCUAUUAUUAAAGGGGAGGGGCAUAUUUUGCCAGUCGUAGUUGGCAGUUACCUGUUGGGACUGGGAGGGUUGGGGUUAGGUAAUUGUUUAGUUUAUGAUUUCAGAGAACUCAUGCCAGAGAACUUAAAUACUUAGGAUGGAAAAACUAAAGAAACCUCAACUUACAAGUUGGCAAGUAACUCCCAAUCCUCUAGUUUUUGGCUUCCUCCCCACCCCCCAUUUUUGAAUUGGACAUCUGGGGGAAGUUCAUGAAGAUCCGCUGGAUUGGGGGUUGGUCUGGCUCACUGGGCUGACCUAACAGAUCUUGGGAAUAUAUGUAAAAACUAAAGUUUGGAUAUGGUAGUGUGUGGUUCUCUUUUGGAAUUUUUUUCAGGUGAUUAAAUAUAACUUAAGGCUACUAUAGGAGCUUCAGAGCAAAGGAUGGCUUAAUGAUCCUGAAGGGAUUUCUGCUGAUGGUAGCUUUUAUAUUCUCAAACUUUUUUCAGAUAACAUCUUCUGAGUCAUAACCAGCCUGGCAAUAUGAUGGCCUAGAUGGAGAGGGAACAACUCCUUGGUGAAUGAUAAGUAAAAGGCAGAAAAGAUUCUAUUUUCUACCUCCAUGGGGGAAAGAGCAUAACCCUUGAAAUCCUUACCUACUGAUGAACGCAUUGUCUACAUAAUGAAAAAAAAAAGCUACCAAUUUAAAGUUAACGGAAUCUACCACUUUAAAGUUAUGGCUAACCAAGCUGUGCCCGCAAAAAAUAAUGAGUCAAUGAGAAAGUAAUGAAUUGAUGAGCAAUACAACGAAGAUCAAAUGUCCAUCUCAAAAUACUGCUUUUACAAAAGCAGAAUUUUAAAAAGUGAAAUGAAAUGAAAGAUAAUACUACAUUAAUCCUGGAAUAAAAGAAGCUGGAAUCAGAUGAGUGGGAUCAUGUGGAUUGAGGAGAGGAGGCUGUCCUGUUUGCCAAUCUUUCGUUUGCCUCAGACAGGUUUC